UUUGUUAUAGUCUAGUUGGUUAGGAUAUUUGGUUCACAUCCAAAAGACCAGACCUGGGUUCAAGUCCCAGUGAUGGAA